UCCAUUUUACUGAACGUAUUGUUUUUUCUUUCGGGUAGGUAUGUGCCAGUUCAGUAUAUGUUGUACUUUUUUUUUUGCUCUUGUGUAAUUUAUGAAAUACCUAACAUUUAAAAUACGGAAAAAGUUGAGUAGUCUAGUUUCAUUCUACAAGUGAUAUUGAGAAUUCAACAAUUCUCGAUCGUGAAAAUUGUAUGUAUAACUAGAUUCCGAUUUCCUGAAAAACAGUGAUAGGUAGUCUAAUAAUGUGUAGUUACAGUUUCGUUUCAAUUUUCGCGUUUAUUUUGGCGUUUUACGUUUCUACAGGUAAAAAUUUAUAAUACGUACCUAUUUGAUGAAAUGCAACAUAAAUACAUAUAUUGAAACGCUACUAUAAGAUGUUACGUGUGUAAUAGUCAUCCUAAAAGUCCAGAGCCAGACUGUUUGAAUGUGAAUUCAAGAACUACUAAAGAAUGGGUUUAUACGCCUGAAAAUCGUGAUGAAGUUGAAUUAUGCACAUACGAAAGGUGGUACAUACUUCCCAGAUGGCUCAUAUAACCUAGUACGAAGUAGGACUACAAAAGGCGAUCAUUGUGACAAAAUACAUAAGGAUUAUCCAAACCGAGUACAUUGCGAACUAUGUCGUACAAACUUAUGCAAUUCAAUGCCUGCCCCCCGGGGACCUCCAACCGCAUCAUCACCAAAGGGGGAACCGAAAGAAUUCACGUGGGAUGGUAAACACUACCUCUGUUAUCCAAGGGUGAUGUAAACCUCAGCUACAGAUCACCUCCAGGCUCCAACCACCACAUCAUCACCUCAAACCAUGUACCUAAUCACCUCCAAACACAUCACUACCAGAGAUGGAACGAAUUGAAAUCUGGAUUAAGGGAAUUCAUUACAAUACGAGUACCUCUGUUUUAUUACCAGUAAGGGUUUUUAAUGAAAACUGUGAACUUCGGGCACAGAUUGUGCAAAAACUAUUGGAUGGAUUUUCGUGGUGUUUGGUUUAUUUUACUCAUUCUACAAAUAAAAAUAAAAAAAUUAUAAUAACUUUGACUAUUU